ACAGUUAUCAACUUUUUGUAUUUUUCUAUUGAUUAAUAGUUGAACACUACUGUGUUGUUCAAAAAAAUAGACAAGCUGAAGUUGACUAGGUUUUCGGAGGCUUUGGUGGCUGAUUUUGCACUUGGUCAUUAUAAAAUAUGGGGUCAUGUUCAUCUCCUUUUCUUUCCCAUCCUUCAACAAAAUCAUUUAUACCUCUUGUGUGUCGACUUCAAAUUCGAGCGGCUUGAAAUUAUUGAUAAUUCUGCUUCAACUCAGCCCACUCCGGUGAAGUAUGGUGAUACCCUAGAAAAUGUGAAACUGUUGUUGUCUGAAUGUUUCACAUCUGUUGGUGAGAAAUUCAAGUCAAUUGUUUGUGACAAUUUGAAGACUAAAAGGAUGCCGAUGACAUGGCGGGACACCAAGAAUAAGGUGGACUAUGGCAUGUAUCUUAUGCGGCACAUGGAGAGUUAUGUGAGUGAAGCCGUGAAGGUGUUGCAAAA